rnacentral:misc_RNA from 1 species
GAUGAAGAACGCAGCGAAAUGCGAUACUUGGUGUGAAUUGCAGAAUCCCGUGAACCAUCGAGUCUUUGAACGCAAGUUGCGCCCGAAGCCACUAGGCCGAGGGCACGCCUGCCUGGGUGUCACACGCCGUUGCCCCCCCAUCUACUCCUUCGGGAUUGCGGGGGGGCGGAUGAUGGCCUCCUGUGCGCCUAGCCGCGCGGUUGGCAUAAAUACCAAGUCCUCGGCGACGCACGCCACGACAAUCGGUGGUUGCGAAACCUCGGUUGCCCGUCGUGUGCGUUCGUCGCGCAUCGAGGGCUCGAAAAAAUGCUCGGCUCCGGCUGGGCUUUCAACGCGACCCCAGGUCAGGCGGGGUUACCCGCUGAAUUUAAGCAUAUCAAUAAGCGGAGGA